rfam:Parcubacteria bacterium GW2011_GWC2_32_10 TR22_C0021, whole genome shotgun sequence.
GCCAGAGUGGCUUAGUGGUAAAGCAAUCGCAUCGUAAGCGAUAGACCGUGGGUUCGAAUCCCACCUCUGGCU